rnacentral:rRNA from 1 species
AUGAAGCUGUGGAGCGAAGUACCUCCGAACAGGGCCUAUAUUUCCCUAUAUAAACUCUAUGCAUCCAUGGCUCGGCCAACUGAAAGCACACACAAAGACAAGACAACGCUACACGAGGGCAUUAUGGUUUCCGCCAUGAAGCUGUCCGUCACCCUCGUCCUCCUCCUCUCAGGGCUCGUGGUGUUCGGGGAGAUCGCGGACGCCAAGGCCAAGGCGCCGUGCGCCGUGGUGUGCUUCCAGGGAGGCCACAUCACCUGCGACAACUACCCCGGCCAGGAGCUCGACGGGUGCGACUGCGAGUGCGCGCCGGCAGACGGCAAGGGCUGCGUGCUACACCUCGACGACGGCGUGACCCACACCAACUGCCGCACGCCCAAUAUGUAG